rnacentral:lncRNA from 1 species
GGCAUAGUGUUCAUCCAAUCACCAUCUUCUCUCCUUGAUUUGCCUAGAAUUUCUUCUUCCAAUCGCUAUCCUCUCCUCGAUUUCUCAAAUCAACCUCAAGGUAAUCUGUCUCUGUUAGAGAUAGAUCUCUAUUCUUAAUUUCAUAUCUUCUAUCUGAUUUCAUGUCUUCCAGUGUUCAUGUAACUGCCACGGGAAAAAUUAAUAAACCCUUUUUGUUGCUUUCAAUUCAUUGAUAGAGAGCUUACAGAAUAAAUUGAGUUUUGGUUUAAAUUCAUAAAGAGAUCUGAUGCAUUGAAUUGAAAGUGGGAAUGUUCCAAGUCCUGUUCUAUAGAAUUAUCCUCCUGUCCAUGGAUGUCAUAGAGAUGUGAAGUUUCAUUUGAGUUUAAGUAGCAUAUGGUGGAGGGACUUGUCAAGUUUUGGUCAUUGAGGGAUCUGUAGCGCUAUUGUUGAUGUGUAUCCUAUGGAAUUUUGAAUAAAAUCUUUUGAUUAAUUCUUUCUUAUUUAUCUAUGUAUUCACAGUCAUCUAUCCUUGUGCAGAACACUUGUACAUUUGUAUUGUUGAGUUCGACGGUGUGGCAAUAGGAACUAGAAUUAUCAUUGUUUUCUAUUAGUACUUAUUCUAAUAAUAGGAACUUGUAAAUUUGAUGGUUUGAUGAUUUUAUAUAUGGUGAAGUUCUAGGGCAGAUAACCAUUAUUGCUUGAAAACGAUUCUGUUUGGAUGCUUUUAAUAAAAAUUUAUUUUGCUCUGAUGCAUUGAAUUUAAA